UGCUAUAUAAGAUUCUUGAUUUUAUUUGAUGAAGGCAUCCCUACCGGUCCCAGAUGUGUUUCUAUUUCCUUGUAUUCCGAGUGCUAGCAAAAAAGAGGAGGCUUAUCUUUUGAUUGUUGAAUGUCAAGAUUAGGUCAGGGGUGUAUCUUUUGCACGAAAGAAGGAUUCCCCAUCCUUCAUGUGAAUCCACCAUUGGAUCACCCAGCACAG
rnacentral:lncRNA from 1 species